rnacentral:rRNA from 1 species
CCCUACGGGGGGCAGCAGUGGGGGAUAUUGCACAAUGGGGGGAACCCUGAUGCAGCGACGCCGCGUGGGUGAAGAAGCGCCUCGGCGCGUAAAGCCCUGUCAGCAGGGAAGAAAAUGACGGUACCUGAAGAAGAAGCCCCGGCUAACUACGUGCCAGCAGCCGCGGUAAUACGUAGGGGGCAAGCGUUAUCCGGAUUUACUGGGUGUAAAGGGGGCGCAGACGGCGAUGCAAGCCAGGAGUGAAAGCCCAGGGCCCAACCCCGGGACUGCUCUUGGAACUGCGUGGCUGGAGGGCAGGAGGGGCG